rnacentral:tRNA from 1 species
GAGAAAGGCUAUAAAGCAAUAAGAACUGCUAAUUCUUACCCCCAUGGUUAAACUCCAUGGCUUUGUCA